rnacentral:rRNA from 1 species
AUCUACAGCCAUACUACACUGAAUGUACCUCAUCUCAUCUCGUAUCAGAAGCUAAGUAUGGCUGGGCCUCGUUUGUUCUUGGAUGGGAGACCACCUUGGAAUAUGAGACAUUGUAAGCU